UUCCUUUAAUGUCCUUAUUUUUAUCUCAUUGCUGUCUUUGGCUUUCCCUAGAGAUGCUUUCUUAAAUAGAGCUCCAAAUUUGCUAUUCUUUUGGCUGUAUUCCCUUAUUAUAUAGAACCCCUAUUUUGAGGUGGUAAAGGGUAGGGAAAGGAAACUGCCUUAGAGUUCUUUGAUUAGGUCUUGGUAUUUUAGUGAACCUGUGUGCCUGGACAGUAACUUUCACAAAUGUUUCUCAGCUUUCACUCCUACUUCCUCAGAUUAAGUCUGCAUGAGACUGGAGUUGGGUAUUUCCCUUCCCACUUCAAAGACUAGAAGAGACUAGAGUUUGGGUAUUUUCCUUUCUAAGUCAGUCAGGCUCUGGGAAAAGCCAAGUGGAUUUGGCUUUGGUAAUAGUUUGCCUUGAGGAUAGGCCUUUUUAAGGUGAAGAGAAAGCUUGAGGUAUAUUUCAAAACAAUUACUUUACCCCACCUCUGAUAGAAGUUUGAGGGCUCCAGAAGGUAAAUGUCAUAGAAAUGUGGCCCUCUAAGGAUGGGCCCCCAGAAAUUUUAAUCUCUCAAGUUAAUUGAUGCUCAGCCUCCUCUAAUUAGUUAAUUAUACUUGAAGUGUUCUUCCCAGGUGCUGGCUCUAGCAGUGUUUCUGCUCCAGUCAAGAUGUGAUUCUAUUUGCUUAUCUCACCAGUUUGGGGGUAGUUUUUAUGACCUCAAUUCUCUGAUGGAUACUAAAUAGUAUUAUUGAUUAUAAGUCUGUUCAGCAUUUUCUGUGUGUAUACGGAUGGGAUUGAGGACUUCUAAGCUAUUCACCUGUAUGACCAGAGACGAAUUUAUCUUACUAAUUUUUAUAAAAGUAAGAAAGAUGAAAAUCUGGUAUAUUUAUUUCUAGUUUUUUGUUUUCCUGUUAAUUUUGAUGUUUUUUGAUUUACAUAAAUGUUAAAUUUUUAUGAGAAUAUAGCAACAGAAAUUUAUUGAUUUGAAAAUGUCAGCACUGCCUUGUAAAAAUUGAGUUAAUCAUCUAAAUUAAAUGAUGCAAGAUUAGAAGGGUUUAUUUCAAAUGUAAAUUAAAUUUUUUUCUUGAUGUCUUAUAUGUAUAUCAGCCUAAUUAUAAAAGAUUCUAUUUUGAGAUACCAAAUCUUUUUCCAACAAAAUAAUUUUCGCAUAGAUAAAUAUCAACUUGUUCUGAAAAAAAAUCUCAUAGGGAAAAAUUAUUCAACUUUUAUUACAUGACAACAUUUGUAUCAAUUAUAAGUUAUAUUAUUUCUUUUCUUAUGGGAGCUAACAUUUGUACUGUUAUGACCAAUAAAACAUCUUCCAAAAUGAUUGGUGCUGUUGCUCUGGAAAAAUCAAACUGGACUUCAAUUUUAUUCUGAAUUUCUUUGUAAAGUAAUAGUAAAUUAGUGUGACCUCUUUAAAAUCCACAGAUACCAAAGUCAUAUCUAUUGGACCAUUUUGUUUCAUAAAACAAUGGAUGUGUCCCAACUGCUAAAGUAAUUCUGUUAGAGUAUAGUGGAAAAUCUAAGUUAUAAAUGAGGUACAUGGAGCCAACAUCAUCAUCACUCUUUAGGGACAAAAGCACAUAUGGAAACAUUUCAUGGAUUCAUUAAAUAUCAAUCUGAAAUAACAUAACAUCAGUAUUGGUAGCUCAAAAAUGAUAACAGCUGACAGAUGGCAACCAAUUAGAGCAAUUAGCAAUUAACUUGUGUGCCCCUGUCCCACCUUCAUCCUCCUUCACUUGCUCCAUGAAUUCCUAUAAUCCCUGGAAACAUGCCUGAGAUUCAGUCUCUGCUACAGAGCUAUUGGGAUUAUGGAUUUGGGGAAGUUAUUGAAAAUGGUUUUGGAGAGAAAGAGCAUGUCACUCUUAAUAUCUCAUUCAAAAUAUGUCUAUUCUUUUUAAGGAAGAUCUAUUUUGUCUUUUUUUUUUUUUUUUUUUUUUUUUUUUUUUUUUUUUUUUUUUUUUUUUGUCGUUUAGGGCUGUACUCAAUGGCAUAUGGAGGUUCCCAGGCUAGGUAGGGAUUCAUUCGAAACUGUAGCUACAGGCCUAUGCCAGAGCCGUAGCAACACGGGAUCCUAGCCGCAUCUGAGACCUACACCACAGCUCUCAGCAACGCUGGAUUCUUAACCCACUGAGUGAGGCCAGGAAUCAAACCUGCAUCCUCAUGGAUGCUAGUGAGGUUUGUUAACCACUGAGCCAUGAUGGGAACUCCUUUAGGGAGGAUCUAAUUUAAAAUACACUCUAAGAUUAUUUUCUAGAAUGAAAAAGAGUGUUAUAAAUAAGGUUACAGGAGUUCCCGUUGUGGCGCAGUGGUUAAUGAAUCUGACUAGGAACCACGAGGUUGCGGGUUCAAACCCUAAUCUUGCUCUGUGCGUCAGGGAUCCAGCGUUGCUAUAAGCUGUGGUGUAGGUUGAAGAAGUGGCUGGGAUCCCGCAUUGCUAUGGCUCUGGUGUAGGCCAGCUGCUACAGCUCUGAUUGGACCCCUAGCCUGGGAACCUCCGUGUGACGUGGGAGCAGCCUUAGAAAAAAUGCAAAAAGACAAAAAAAAAAAAAGUUUACAAAACUUUUGAAAUAUUUAUAUACUAACACAUAAAUAGUUUUACUUAAUCAGUGAUCCUAUAAAGUAGUUCAAUUCAAAAAACAUUCCCCAAAUAUUUCUUCUUAAAAUGAAGAUAUAUAACCAUGCAUAUUAAAUUUUAUAAAGUCUUUGAUGAUUGUCACCUUAUCAUUAAAAAUAACAUGAAAAUAUUAUAGGUUUAUAUUUACAUGCUUUAUUCAGUUUCCAUAUGUCUAAUACCAGGUCUAUGGUAUUUUUUUCUGAGGACUGUAUUUCUUUAAUAAAGCAAUUUUAGAUUAAAAUUGCUUAAAAUUUUUAUUAGUCACAUUUUAUAGUUAAUGAAAUUUGAAAUUGUUGUCAUCUUUCAUUUACUUUUUUCUGCAACUGUAUUUAAUUGAGAAAAUAUUUUCCCUGUAAGUGCUGAAGUACCUAGUAAGCACAGAGAAAAUUUUAUUUAAAACAUAUUUUAUAUUUUUGUAUCAAAGCAUGUAACUAUUUUCAUUCCCAUUUAGAGAAAUAUUUGUAAGAAAUAUUUAAUAUUUGUAAAAUAUUUGUAAGAUAAAUCUUGUCAAAUAAAAUGUCUCUAAUUGACUGUUUUUAAUAUUUACCAAAUUUAAAUGUUACAGAACUUGAGGAUUUAUCAAUUGAAUUCAAUUCAAGUAAUCAAUAUAAAUUUAUCUAAUUCUGAAUAAGAUUUCCAUCAAAAGAGUAUUCCCACAAGCUGAGAUAUUAAAAAUACAGAGUUUUAGGGAAGUCUCCAUUUGUUGAGUAAUUUUACUAAGUAUUUCCAACUGAUUUUGGACAAAGUGAGACCAAAUUUAAGGGACUCAUUCACACAAAAAGUAUAACACAAUUAUGGGGCACUAAGAGUAAUUUACAAAAUAACUCUUCAAAGGUUCAAACUUCCUAAAAAUUCCUUUGGUUACAGAUAGUAAAAAGAGAAUCUAUAACCAUGAAGAAGUAUUUUUGGGAAAUUCAAUAUAAACUCCAUCACCAGCAAUUAUAGUAUUUGUCUGCAUAGGGUGUGUGCAUGUGUGUGGGUAUGUGUGCAUGUGCAAAGUUUGAUGACUGCACUUCCAUUUCAGUUUGAAGGGUAUCACAGGGUUGGGGGUACAGUUAUGAAAUAUGUGUCUACUGCAACCCAUUUCAAGAAUAUUUCUGUUCUCUAUGCUUUAUUUUUUUCUAAUAAAUUGUGUAGAGUAUAGGUGACUAACAAUUUUUUUUAACUUUCAUAAUGAUUUUUAUUUUCUCCAUUAUAGCUGGUUUACAGCGUUCUGUCAAUUUUCUACUGUACAGAAAGGUGACCCAGUUACACGUACAUGUAACAAUUUUGUGUUGGUUUCAUGUAUAAAGCAAAGGGAAUCAAUUAUACAUGUACAUAUAUUCAUUCUUCUUCAGAUUAUUUCCCCAUAGAGGCGAUCAUAGAGUACUGAAGAAAUUUCCCCAAGCUAUGUAGUAGAUCCUUGCUACUGAUUGAUUUUGCAUAUAGUAGUGUGUACAUGCCAGUCCUAAUCUCUCAAUUCAUCCCUCUCCCAAGUGUUUCCCCUUUGGUAACUAUUAGUUUGGUUUUGACUCUGUUCCUGUUUUGCAUCAUUUUUUAUUAGAUUCCACAUAUCAGUCAUCUCACAUGAUAUUUGUCCUUAUUUGUCUGCCUUACUUCACUGAGUAUGAUAAUUUCCAGGUCCAUCCAUAUUGCUGCAAAUGGCAUUAUAUCAGUCUUUUUUUAUUGCCAAGUAAUAUUCCAUUGUAUAUAUGUGCCAUGUCUUUUAUUUAUUUAUUUAUUUAUUUUUAUUACUCAAAUGAAUUUAUCACAUCUGUAGUUGUAUAAUGAUCAUCACAAUCCAGUUUCACAGGAUUUUCAUCCCACAACCCAAGCACAUCUCCCCACCCCCAAAACCGUCUCCUCUGGAGACCAUAAGUUUUUCAUUGUCUGUGAGUCAGCAUCUGUUCUGCAAAGAAGUUCAAUCUGACCUUUUUUCAGAUUCCACAUGUCAGUGAAAGCAUUUGAUGUUGGUGCCUCAUUGAAUGGCUGACUUCACUUAGCGUGGUAAUUUUUAGGUCCAUCCAUGUUGCAAAAAAUGUUGGUAUUUCGUUCUUUUUAAUGGCUGAAUCAUAUUCCAUUGUGUAUAUGUACCACAUCUUCUUGAUGCACCCCUCUGACGAUGGACAUUUAGGUUGUUUCCAUGUCUUGGCUGUUGAAAAUAGUGCUGCAGUGAACAUUGGAGUACAUGUGUCUUUGCGAGUCGUGGUUUUCUCUGGAUAGGUGCCCAGGAGUGGGAUUUGCACCAUGUCUUCUUUAUCCAGUCCUCCACUGAUGGACAUUUAGGUUGUUUCCAUGUCUUGGCUAUUGAAAAUAGUGCAGCAGAGAGUUCCCAUAGUGGCUCAGUAGUAACGAACCUGACUAGUAUCCAUGAGGAUGUGGGUUCAAUCCCUGGCCUCACUUAGUGGGUUAAAGAUCUAGUAUUGCUGUGAACUGUGGUGUAGGUCACAGAAGUGGCUCAGAUCCUGUGUUGCUGUGGCUGUGGUGUAGGCCUCCAGCUGCAGCUCUGAUUCUACCCCUAGCCUAGGAACUUGCAUAUGCUGCACAUGUGGCCCUAAAUUGCAAAAAAAAAAAAAAAAAAA
rnacentral:lncRNA from 1 species